UACGAAGGGGGCUAGCGUUGCUCGGAAUCACUGGGCGUAAAGCGCACGUAGGCGGCUUCUUAAGUCAGGGGUGAAAUCCUGGAGCUCAACUCCAGAACUGCCUUUGAUACUGAGGAUCUUGAGUUCGGGAGAGGUGAGUGGAACUGCGAGUGUAGAGGUGAAAUUCGUAGAUAUUCGCAAGAACACCAGUGGCGAAGGGCGGCUCACUGGCCCGAUACUGACGCUGAGGCACGAAAGCGUGGGGAGCAAACAGG
rnacentral:rRNA from 1 species